rnacentral:rRNA from 1 species
GAUGAACGCUGGCGGCGUGCCUAAUACAUGCAAGUCGAGCGUAUGGAUUAAGAGCUUGCUCUUAUGAAGUUAGCGGCGGACGGGUGAGUAACACGUGGGGAACCUGCCCAUAAGACUGGGAUAACUCCGGGAAACCGGGGCUAAUACCGGAUAACAUUUUGAACCGCAUGGUUCGAAAUUGAAAGGCGGCUUCGGCUGUCACUUAUGGAUGGACCCGCGUCGCAUUAGCUAGUUGGUGAGGUAACGGCUCACCAAGGCAACGAUGCGUAGCCGACCUGAGAGGGUGAUCAGCCGCACUGGGACUGCGACACGGCCCAGACUCCUACGGGAGGCAGCAGUAGGGAAUCGUCCGCAAUGGCCGAAAGUCUGACGGAGCAACGGCGCGUGAGUGAUGAAGGCUUUCGGGUCGUAAAACUCUGUUGUUAGGGAAGAACAAGUGCUAGUUGAAUAAGCUGGCACCUUGACGGUACCUAACCAGAAAGCCACGGCUAACUACGUGCCAGCAGCCGCAGUAA